GAUGAACGCUGGCGGCGUGCCUAAUACAUGCAAGUAGAACGCUGAAGCUUGGUGCUUGCACCGAGCGAAUGAGUUGCGAACGGGUGAGUAACGCGUAGGUAACCUGCCUCUUAGCGGGGGAUAACUAUUGGAAACGAUAGCUAAUACCGCAUAAAAGUCGAUAUCGCAUGAUAUUGAUUUGAAAGGUGCAAAUGCAUCACUAAGAGAUGGACCUGCGUUGUAUUAGCUAGUUGGUGAGGUAACGGCUCACCAAGGCGACGAUACAUAGCCGACCUGAGAGGGUGAUCGGCCACACUGGGACUGAGACACGGCCCAGACUCCUACGGGAGGCAGCAGUAGGGAAUCUUCGGCAAUGGGGGCAACCCUGACCGAGCAACGCCGCGUGAGUGAAGAAGGUUUUCGGAUCGUAAAGCUCUGUUGUAAGAGAAGAACGAGUGUGAGAGUGGAAAGUUCACACUGUGACGGUAACUUACCAGAAAGGGACGGCUAACUACGUGCCAGCAGCCGCGGUAAUACGUAGGUCCCGAGCGUUAUCCGGACUUAUUGGGCGUAAAGCGAGCGCAGGCGGUUAGAUAAGUCUGAAGUUAAAGGCUGUGGCUUAACCAUAGUACGCUUUGGAAACUGUUUAACUUGAGUGCAGAAGGGGAGAGUGGAAUUCCAUGUGUAGCGGUGAAAUGCGUAGAUAUAUGGAGGAACACCGGUGGCGAAAGCGGCUCUCUGGUCUGUAACUGACGCUGAGGCUCGAAAGCGUGGGGAGCAAACAGG
rnacentral:rRNA from 1 species